AUGUGUUUUCAAGCAGAAGCUAAAGCCAGAUGGAUCAAUUGGCAAACUCAAAGCAAGAUUAGUAUAGUAGCAAGAGACUUUCUACAGAAGCCUGGGAUGGAUUACUCUGGAGUGUUUGCACAUGUACUGAGAUAUAAAAUAAUCAGACUAGUGAUUGCAAUAGCUGCUAACAUGAAUUGGCCUCUGAUGCAUUUAGAUGUAAAAUCUACAUUUCUGAAUGGUCCAUUACAAGAAGAGGUAUACGUAUCACAACCUCCUGGAUUUGAGAAAAAGAAUCAGGAAGGGAUGGUGUUCAAAUUACACAAAGCCUUGUAUGGAUUGAAG